rnacentral:rRNA from 1 species
AUGCCGCAUCCCUCUUCCUCUUCCUCCCUCGUGCCGCACUCCCCUUCCUCCCUCUUCAUCUGCUUUUUCCUCCAGGGAUCCCACUCCGGCAAAAGAUCGCCGCCCUGGUGGUCAGUGCCUCCUCGUCGGCGUCGGCGUCGUUUAGGGUUCCUUCAAGGUCGGGGUCGUCUAGGGUUCCAUCAAGCUCCGUCAAGUUCGUCAUCUUCAAGAAGUAUUCCAUCGGUACAGCAGAGAGAGGACAAGGGGCUCAUCAAGGCACGCGGUGCUAGGAACUUCCAUUCGACGGCCCCACUGCUUAUUCGACAUCCUAUUUCAAAACAGUCGUGGUAUGACUCAGGAAUUUUCCUUCUUCAGUAUGUUAGCAAGUACAAAGGUCUCGGAUUGGAGGGGUUCUCUAAUGAUGAUUUACAAGCUCUACGUCAAAAUUCCUUUUUGAGAUUGUAA